AGAGUUUGAUCAUGGCUCAGAGCGAACGCUGGCGGCAGGCCUAAUACAUGCAAGUCGAACGGCUCUUCGGAGCAGUGGCGGACGGGUGAGUAACGCGUGGGAAUGUGCCCUUUGGUACGGAACAACACAGGGAAACUUGUGCUAAUACCGUAUGUGCCCUUCGGGGGAAAGAUUUAUUGCCAUUGGAGCAGCCCGCGUUGGAUUAGCUAGUUGGUGGGGUAAAGGCUCACCAAGGCUACGAUCCAUAGCUGGUCUGAGAGGAUGAUCAGCCACACUGGGACUGAGACACGGCCCAGACUCCUACGGGAGGCAGCAGUAGGGAAUCUUGCGCAAUGGGCGAAAGCCUGACGCAGCCAUGCCGCGUGAAUGAUGAAGGUCUUAGGAUUGUAAAAUUCUUUCACCGGGGAAGAUAAUGACGGUACCCGGAGAAGAAGCCCCGGCUAACUUCGUGCCAGCCGCCGCGGUAAUAC
rnacentral:rRNA from 1 species